rnacentral:misc_RNA from 1 species
UCUCCGUAGGUGAACCUGCGGAGGGAUCAUUACCGAGUUUCGUGCCCGUACGGGUAGAUCUCCCACCCUAUGUUAUUAUUACCUUGUUGCUUUGGCGGGCCGCCAGGCUCCGGUCAGGCUAUCGGCUUCGGCUGGUAAGCGCCCGCCAGAGGACCCAAUAUCCUGAUUAUCAGUGUCGUCUGAGUACUAUGAUAAUAGUUAAAACUUUCAACAACGGAUCUCUUGGUUCUG